rfam:Oikopleura dioica, whole genome shotgun assembly, reference scaffold set, scaffold scaffold_31
UCCCGCAUGGUCUAGGGGUUAGGAUUCCGGAUUCUCACUCCGGCGGCCCGGGUUCGAUUCCCGGUGCGGGAG